rnacentral:rRNA from 1 species
UACGAAGGGGGCUAGCGUUGCUCGGAAUUACUGGGCGUAAAGGCGCGUAGGCGGCACUGUUAGUCAGGCGUGAAAGUCCUGGGCUCAACCUGGGAACUGCGCUUGAUACGGCAGAGCUAGAGGAUGGAAGAGGCUCGCGGAAUUCCCAGUGUAGAGGUGAAAUUCGUAGAUAUUGGGAAGAACACCGGUGGCGAAGGCGGCGAGCUGGUCCAUUACUGACGCUGAGG